rnacentral:rRNA from 1 species
AGAGUUUGAUCCUGGCUCAGGAUGAACGCUGGCGGCGUGCUUAACACAUGCAAGUCGAACGGAGCUUAUUGGAAAGCUUGCUUUCGUUUAAGCUUAGUGGCGGACGGGUGAGUAACGCGUGAGCAACCUGCCCUUCAGUGGGGAAUAACACCGAGAAAUCGGUGCUAAUACCGCAUAAUGUCGGAGGACCGCAUGAUCCACCGACCAAAGGAUUUAUUCGCUGAAGGAUGGGCUCGCGUCCGAUUAGGCAGUUGGCGGGGUAACGGCCCACCAAACCGACGAUCGGUAGCCGAACUGAGAGGUUGAUCGGCCACAUUGGGACUGAGACACGGCCCAGACUCCUACGGGAGGCAGCAGUGGGGAAUAUUGCACAAUGGGGGAAACCCUGAUGCCAGCAACGCCGCGUGAGUGAUGAAGGUCUUCGGAUUGUAAAGCUCUGUCUUUAGGGACGAUAGUGACGGUACCUAAGGAGGAAGCCACGGCUAACUACGUGCCAGCCGCGGC